rnacentral:tRNA from 1 species
GGAGUUGUAGCUCAAUGGUAGAGCACUUGCUUAGCAUGUGUGAGGUACUGGGUUCGAUUCUCAGCACCA